GUGUUUGUGAUGAUAACCUAACUCAGCUCACUCAGAGUGAAAGCGAUGCUGAUAAAUUUUCCUAAUCCAACUUAUAUCUGACAACAC
rnacentral:snoRNA from 1 species